rnacentral:rRNA from 1 species
UACGUAGGUGGCAAGCGAUACUCGGAAUCACUAGGCGUAAAGCGCAGGUAGGCGGUUUGGUAAGUCUUUUUGUGAAAGCUCCCGGCUUAACUGGGAGAGGUCAAAGGAAACUACCAGACUAGAGUGUGGUAGGGGGAUACUGGAAUUCCUGGUGUAGCGGUGAAAUGCGUAGAUAUCAGGAAGAACACCCGUGGCUAAGGCGGUUCUCUAGUACGGUACUGACGCUGAGACGCGAAAAGCGUGGGGAGCGAACAGG